rnacentral:rRNA from 1 species
UACGUAGGGGGCAAGCGUUAUCCGGAUUUACUGGGUGUAAAGGGAGCGCAGGCGGCGUGGCAAGUCAGAUGUGAAAACCCGGGGCCCAACCCCGGGAGUGCAUUUGAAACUGCCAUGCUGGAGUGCCGGAGAGGUAAGCGGAGUUCCUAGUGUAGCGGUGAAAUGCGUAGAUAUUAGGAGGAACACCAGUGGCGAAGGCGGCUUGACUGGACGGUAACUGACGCUGAGGCUCGAAAGCGUGGGGAGCAAACAGGG